rnacentral:lncRNA from 10 species
AUGGAAGACCUGAGUACAGGGGAAACUGGAUUAGUAACAGUGGGUCAGAAAAUUAUAUAAUAUUCAACCAAAAUUCCUGCUUUACAUACACAGCACCUGGUAUUUCCAGAACUAGAAGGUAAAGAAAUUAUUUGUGCUUGAACUUGCAGAAAAGUGCCUUUUCCCUUCUUCUCUUGCAUCUUAACCUGGAGCUUCCCUUUUCUUGAGCCUCAGUGUGCUUCCCAACUCAAUUUAUAGUUGACUUCCUGCAGUUUCUCUUUAGGACAGGGCUUUGUUUUGGGGGUGGUUAAUUUGUAGGGUUCAUAGGAAACAGACCACUCACAGCACCUGCUUUUUGGCAUCCUCACUCUCAGCUAUGAGUUGAGGCCCAGGAAGCCUUCUGCCAGCCUCAGCUGCCGUUCUCAGAUUAAUCUGCUGAGUUCUUUUCGCCUAGUAAGAAUCUCUGAAUUUAGGAACAUAGAUGUUAGCGCUUGUAUUUCUAGGUUUUCCAGUUCCCAGGGCCAUUAAACAUUUUUUUCUUUCCUUUCCUUCUUCCAAAAAAAUUGGUGAUUUGCCUGGGUCCCUGUGGUUUAACCUCACAAAAGGUCCAUGAUGACACCCUGUUACAUUGUUUUGUCAUAGUUAAUACCUUGUUAUCCCAGUUGCUCAGUCAGUUUUGUGAGAGAUUCAGGGAUAUUAAUAAAACUGUGCUGCUGCUUCUACUAACACCUUGCAUAAAAACCCUAUUAAUUAAAAUGUUUAUUUUGCAUGUGAUUUGAACUUGUAAUUUUUAUUCAAAGUUUUUCAACAGAGAUCCAGAAAAGACCCUCAUUAUAUUUUUAGUUUUGUGCAUUGCAACACUUUUUAGUGAAAAAAAAAAUACAUGAGAACAACACAAGUGAUUUUAAAAGAAUAAACCUACAAUCCAUUAAUUAUAAAAUGAAAUACUAUGCAGGUGUUAAGAAUGAGGGAAUCAAUAAGAACUUGUGUGGGGUAACUAUAAACUUUAAAAAAAAAAUUAAUGCUCAUGUGACCAUAUUAUCGUUAAAAAAAUACAAGCAUACUUGCACACACCUUCAAGCAAAAUGGGUACACGCAUUUAAAAAUAUUUAAAUUAAGUAAAUGGCCCAAUAAUUUAACUUUGUAUAAUUCUAUGUUCUCUGAUUAUUUUAUGUGCUAGAAACAGGCAUUACUGUUGUGUUUAUUUCAUUUGAAAUAAUUGUAGUCACAUGAGGUUUAAGUUAUAAUACAGAGAGGUCACAUAUGCCUAUUUUCUAAUUGGAUACCUUAUUUAUUACUGUUGAGUUUUGAGAAUUUUUUACAUAUGCUAGAUGUAAGUUCUUUGUCAGAUAUAUGGUAUGCAAAUUAUUUCUCCCAGUCUGUAAUUCAUUUUUUCAACCUCUUUACAGGGUCUAAGUAAAAAAAAAAAAAAAAAGUGUUUAUUUAUUUUAAUGAAGUCCAGUUUUAUCACUUUUUCCUUCUGUAGAUUUUGUUUUCAACAUCAAGCCUAAAAAUUCUUUGCCUAGCCCAAGGUCUCAAGAGUUUUCUUCUAUUUUAAAAAGUUUAAUGAAUUUAUUUAUUUAUUAAUUAUUUUUGAGACGAGGUUUCACCAAAGCUGUAGUGCAGUGGUGUCAUCAUUGCUCACUGCAGCCACUAACAGCUGGAUUGAAGUGAUCCUUCCACCUCAGCCACUUGAGUAGUAGCUGGGAUUACAGGCAUGAGCUACCAUACACAACUUUAAGUUUUAUAAUAUUGCAUUUUACAUUUAAGCCUGUGAUUUAUGUGAGCUAAAUUUUAUAUAAAGUAUAAAUUUAGGUCAGUCUUAGUUUUUGUACCUGUGAAUGUCCAAUUGCUCUAGCACCAUUUGUUGAAAAAGAUAUCCUUCCUUUAAACUGAUUUUGCAUCCUUGUAAAAAAAAAAUCAGUUGAAUAUAGUGUGGUCUGUCACCUUUUAAUAAGAUAAAAACAUUGGCACUCACCAGAUAUCGAAGUUUAGAAAUUUUUUUAAAGCUAAACUUCUGAAGAUAGAAUAAAAACACCUUCACAUGUCAAAUUAGUCAAUUUGUAUAGGACUAAUUCAUUUAAAUAUAUUAAAAUACAAAAUAAUUCAAACCACUAAAGUGAUAAUACAAGACUAUAAAUUUAAAGGCUAAUUAUUAAGUCAAAUUGCUGUAUUCUACUUGUUAGAGUGAGUUCAAAAGAUCCAUUGUAUUACUGAAUAGGCAAAAGUUUUAAUUUCAGAGGAUGAAACUGAUAUAUUACUGCCACCUUGUGGAUAUUCUGUUAUUAC